AAGCCUGACGGAGCAAGACCGCGUGAGGGAGGACGGCUUUUGGGUUGUAAACCUCUUUUAUCAGGGAAGAAGAUCUGACGGUACCUGAUGAAUCAGCAUCGGCUAACUCCGUGCCAGCAGCCGCGGUAAUACGGAGGAUGCAAGCGUUAUCCGGAUUUAUUGGGCGUAAAGCGUCCGCAGGUGGCUAAUCAAGUCUGCUGUUAAAGCGUGGAGCUUAACUCCAUACAGGCAGUGGAAACUGGUUGGCUAGAGUCUGGUAGGGGUCACGGGAAUUCCCAGUGUAGCGGUGAAAUGCGUAGAUAUUGGGAAGAACACCAGCGGCGAAAG
rnacentral:rRNA from 1 species